UACGUAGGGUCCGAGCGUUGUCCGGAAUUAUUGGGCGUAAAGGGCUCGUAGGCGGUUCGUCACGUCGGGAGUGAAAACUCGGAGCUUAACUCCGAGCCUGCUUCCGAUACGGGCAGACUAGAGGUAGGCAGGGGAGAGUGGAAUUCCGGUGUAGCGGUGAAAUGCGCAGAUAUCGGGAAGAACACCCGUGGCGAAGGCGGCUCUCUGGGACGGUACUGACGCUGAGACGCGAAAGCGUGGGGAGCGAACAGG
rnacentral:rRNA from 1 species